CCUACGGGUGGCAGCAGUGGGGGAUAUUGCACAAUGGGGGAAACCCUGAUGCAGCGACGCCGCGUGGGUGAAGAAGCGCCUCGGCGCGUAAAGCCCUGUCAGCAGGGAAGAAAAUGACGGUACCUGAAGAAGAAGCACCGGCUAACUACGUGCCAGCAGCCGCGGUAAUACGGAGGGGGCAAGCGUUACUCGGAUUUACUGGGUGUAAAGGGGGCGCCGACGGCGUUGCAAGCCAGGAGUGAAAGCCCGGGGCGCAACCCCGGGACUGCACUUGGAACUGCGUGGCUAGAGUGCAGGAGGGGCAGGCGGAAUUCCUGGUGUAGCGGUGAAAUGCGUAGAGAUCAGGAGGAACACCGGUGGCGAAGGCGGCCUGCUGGACUGCAACUGACGUUGAGGCCCGAAAGCGUGGGGAGCAAACAGGAGUAGAUACCCUUGUAGUC
rnacentral:rRNA from 1 species